rnacentral:rRNA from 1 species
GGCCUACCAUGGUGGUAACGGGUAACGGGGUGUUAGGGCACGACACCGGAGAGGGAGCCUGAGAAACGGCUACCACAUCCAAGGAUGGCAGCAGGCGCGCAAAUUACCCAAUCCCGACACGGGGAGGUAGUGACAAUAAAUAACAAUACGGGGUCCUUUAGGAUCUCGUAAUUGGAAUGAGUACAAUUUAAAUCUCUUAACGAGGAACAAUUGGAGGGCAAGUCCGGUGCCAGCAGCCGCGGUAAUUCCAGCUCCAAUAGCGUAUAUUAAAGUUGUUGCAGUUAAAAAGCUCGUAGUUGAAUUUCGGGGUUAGUAGGUUGGUCAUGCCUCUGGUAUGUACUGGUCUCACUGAUUCCUCCUUCCUGAUGAACCUUAAUGCCAUUAAUUUGGUGUUUUGGGGAAUUUGGACUGUUACUUUGAAAGAAUUAGAGUGUUUAAAGCAAGCUAACGCUUGAAUACAUUAGCAUGGAAUAAUGAAAUAGGACGUUCGAUCCUAUUUUGUUGGUUUCUAGGAUUGACGUAAUGAUUAAUAGGGAUAGUUGGGGGCAUUAGUAUUCAAUUGUCAGAGGUGAAAUUCUUGGAUUUAUUGAAGACUAACUACUGCGAAAGCAUUUGCCAAGGAUGUUUUCAUUAAUCAAGAACGAAAGUUAGGGGAUCGAAGACGAUCAGAUACCGUCGUAGUCUUAACCAUAAACUAUGCCGACUAGGGAUCGGAUGAUGUUAAUUUUUUAAUGACUCAUUCGGCGCCUUACGGGAAACCAAAGUGUUUGGGUUC